AACUGGAAGCCUGCUGGUCAGGGCUUGUGCGUUCAGGGAUCUCUUCAUGCAUCCAGAGACUGCCAGUGGUCCUGCAGCUGCCAAAACUCUGUGUAAAGAUGAAAAACGUUGCUUAGAAGCGUGGAAAAUCCCCUCAGCCUGACAAGUUCUAACUAGAGUGCUACCCGGCCUUUGAAGAUUUUCCUUUUUCCAUUGGAUCUCUGAAAUACCAUUGAUAUGUGAGAUUCACGUCUACUGCCAUGUAUUUUGACCUACCCAGUUUUAGUAAUUCCUUUUCCAGUCUCUGUAUAGUUGCAUUUAUACAAUAAUAGAGUUGCUUUAAUAUCAAUCCUGUAAAGAUAUAUGAAAAACAAAAACGAAUUUUAUACCAAAUAAUAAAAUUAUUUAUCCUUGCUGAA